rnacentral:rRNA from 1 species
CCAAAGAUAAUGACGGCGUCUGUGAGGACUCCUGUACACUGAGCUUUCGGGCACGUACACGGCUAGAAAUCCAGGCCCGGUCGCCCUCGGCCCCCCUCGUUUUCGAGGGACCGAGAACCCCCUUUAUAUCAAGG